rnacentral:rRNA from 1 species
CCUACGGGAGGCAGCAGUGGGGAAUAUUGGGCAAUGGGCGCAAGCCUGACCCAGCAACGCCGCGUGAAGGAAGAAGGCUUUCGGGGUGUAAACCUCUUUUGACAGGGAAGAGUAGAAGACGGUACCUGUCGAAUAAGCCACGGUUAAUUACGUGCCAGCAGCAACGGUAAUAGGUAGGUGGCAAGCGUUGCCCGGAUUUACGGGGUGUAAAGGGCGUGUAGCCGGGUUGACAAGUCAGAUGUGAAAGCCUGCGGCUUAACCGCAGAACUGCAUUUGAAACUGUUGAUCUUGAGUACUGGAGAGGCAGACGGAAUUCCUAGUGUAGCGGUGAAAUGCGUAGAUAUUAGGAGGAACACCAGUGGCGAAGGCGGCUUUCUGGACUGAAACUGACGCUGAGGCACGAAAGCGUGGGGAGCAAACAGGAUUAGAUACCCCGGUAGUC